rnacentral:misc_RNA from 1 species
GAUGAAGAACGUAGCGAAAUGCGAUAAGUAAUGUGAAUUGCAGAAUUCAGUGAAUCAUCGAAUCUUUGAACGCACAUUGCGCCCAUUAGUAUUCUAGUGGUCAUGCCUGUUCGAGCGUCAUUUCAACCCUUAAGCCUAGCUUAGUAUUGGGAAUCGACUUUACUGUCGUUCCUCAAAUUCAACGGCGGAUUUAUAGCAAUCUCUGAACGUAGUAAUUUUUUUCCUCGUUUUUGAAAUACUAUAAACCUCAGCCGCUAAACCCCCAAUUUUUUUAUGGUUGACCUCGGAUCAGGUAGGAAUACCCGCUGAACUUAAGCAUAUCAAUAAGCGGAGGA